GAGAGAGAAUGCUAAUGAGCUGUGAAAUGACCAAAGAUCUGGCAGCAGAAGGGAAAAGAAAAAAUAAUGGGAACAAGAGGAUUUAUCUGACUCAACUGGAGAUGGCUCCCUUCCCUAAUUUAUUGUUGCAUCCUGAAGCUUCCCCCAUGCUGGGCUCAGUGUGAACAAACAGCGCGGGAGAAUGCAACCACUGCAGAGGUACAAGUUCACAGAGGCAGAGCCGCCCCUCGACUGGGCCAGAGGCAAAGACAAACCCCAACCUCUUUCUUGUCAUUCAUUGAAUUUUGCUGAACCUGGAAAGGAAAUAAAUUCCAAAGGCAGGAAGUGACCCAGAGACCAUAACAAUAUGUGAAAAGCUUAGCCGGUGUUUCCGCCCCUUUGUUUCAAACUAUUCUAAUCUGUGUCCCAGGAAGCCUAGCCCAUGGCCAGAUGGAGAUCUGUUUUCAGAUGCCUCCUGGCAUCUGCCACUCCCGGCUGGUGACAUUUGCACAUUUCAGAAGGCAAACCUGUCCCAACAUCUUCAAACUUCCAGAGAGGUGUAGCACCAGGAAAGUCCUUGGGUCUCCGGCUGACAGCACCAACCAGCUGAUUUGCUUCAUCUGCAGCUGAACUGCUGCUGGACUCCAGCCUAGAACACUAGUGCACACCGGGUUUGUUCUUGAAGAUUUGCAGAUUCUGAAAUCAAAAUGCCCUGUGUUGCCAGAAAAGGCUGGCUCCCUUGCCUGCUUCAUAAUCCCUUCUCACCAGGCUUUCCUAAAGAAACUCAAUGAGUCAGGAAGGAAGAAAACAUGUCUGAGGGAGAUCUGGAGGCAUAUGUUUGAGAUGCCUGGCCACUGGAGGUCAUCUCGUCUACUAUGUUCACCACAGAUAAAGAAUGAAAAGAGAAUAUACAACCUUGUGAUUGCUAGCAGUGAAAGCUCAGAGUUAUGACAUAACAGAAUUAAAUUGAGUUCAAGCAGCUUGGAACAGCUUGAUGGCUUCUUUCUGCCACAGAAGGUGCCAGGUGUCCUGCAUCUAGACUCUGACAGCCUAUUGAUUGGUUGGAAAGAACCCAAGGGGACAUGGGCACAGCAUCCCUUCCUGGGCCUCUUCCUCAGGUGGUGCGGGUGGGAAAUCAGGAAGCUCCCAGACAUGGAGCAACUCAGGUGAUCAUGGAACAGAGAGAAGAGGGGCUUGAGCAGAGAGAAUGCUUAGAGGCUAAGCGAUGGGCAAGUGAGAGGGAAAGAGCCGCGACAGACAGAGCUGGCUGCCUAGGGGUCUCAGAGGCUUCAUCCUGCAGGCGGCAGGCGGCAGGACAAAGGGACCUUCGCACUCGAGAUCAAGAUUCCAAGGAGUUAAACGCUACCACGCAGCCCGACCUGGAUGGGAUUUGCUCCUGGGUACAAAACGGGACACUGAUCAAAAUCAACUUGGACAAGUGACAAGAGUGAGUCUUAUGUCGGUGGAUGUCUUUUAAGGUCGUUGGAGGGAAGAGGACGGGAGGGGUGUGCCGAGGGGUAGGUGGAGAGAGGCACCGAGUCCAGAGCCGGGAUAUAAAUGCACCAGGAGCCGGGGAGCAGAGGAGCAAAUGAGUGGGGGAAAGAGUGAGAGGAAGAGUUGGAGAAAAGUCGGGGGAAAGUAGGGACAGGGUUAAGGGGAGAGAGGAGGAUGAGGGCGGCGAGGAGAGAUUAAAAGGGGAAGGGGGGUCGCUGGAGAGGAGGGCGGACUGUGGAUCGGAGGUAGGG
rnacentral:lncRNA from 1 species